rnacentral:rRNA from 1 species
CCUACGGGAGGCUUCAGUGGGGAAUAUUGGACAAUGGGGGGAACCCUGAUCCAGCCAUGCCGCGUGUGUGAAGAAGGCCCUCGGGUUGUAAAGCACUUUCAGUGAGGAAGAACGCCUGGUGGUUAAUACCCAUCAGGAAAGACAUCACUCACAGAAGAAGCACCGGCUAACUCCGUGCCAGCAGCCGCGGUAAUACGGAGGGUGCGAGCGUUAAUCGGAAUUACUGGGCGUAAAGCGCGCGUAGGUGGCUUGAUAAGCCGGUUGUGAAAGCCCCGGGCUCAACCUGGGAACGGCAUCCGGAACUGUCAAGCUAGAGUGCAGGAGAGGAAGGUAGAAUUCCCGGUGUAGCGGUGAAAUGCGUAGAGAUCGGGAGGAAUACCAGUGGCGAAGGCGGCCUUCUGGACUGACACUGACACUGAGGUGCGAAAGCGUGGGUAGCAAACAGGAUUAGAUACCCGAGUAGUC